UCUACGCCAGGCGUCCUUUCCCUACCGUACAUCCCAGUCGGGCGCUCUCCGGCUGUCCCCAACAGUCUGGCGGCGGCGGAGCAGAAGAAGGAGCCGCCGGUGACGCACCGCCCCCCCUCCGGUGACCUCACUGCAGAGACUGAGGAGGAGGAGGUGGAAAAACCGCCGUGGCUGAAGAGACGGCGGCGCGCGGGCACGAACCCGCCAGGAGCGCGCGUCCCGCGGCCUCGCUGUCCCCGCCAAGCCCCGCCUACUGUCUGGGACAACUCCUGGCUGGCGCUGGCUGGCUGCGUGCGUGUCUGUCUGUCUGUGUGCGAGAGCGAGAGAAAGGGAACGUGAGGCAAUCCUGGACCUCCCUUCCCUUUCUCCUCGCCCGAGCCAGAUGGCGUCGUUCCCUCCCUUUACAGCAAUCUCAGCGCUUCGUUGCAUUAGCGCAGCCCGCCGCCGCUCCACUCGGGCAGCUGGUGAUGCCCCCCCCCCUCAGAGAAGUGCCUCAGCCUGCCCCCCCCAGCACACACCGCCCCCUCAUUUCUGUUUCAGAAAUCUAAUACGUGGGACACAACUCGCUUGGCUCACCCAGGCACUUUGACCCUUCUGUGCCCCCCCUUUUUUUCUAGUGUCGCCACUGGCUCCGUAGUCCCCGCCCAAUAGUUAAGUUUUACCUCAGCUUCCCUUCAUCAGUCGUUUUAUUUUCCCCUCAGCCGCUCAUGCUCGAAUCUACCCGUCUGCUCUUACAGGCUACUCCAAAUGUCUGCUCUUUCACAUAGUGCCCUUCUUCCCUUGGAGCCAUUCGCUCCAGAUUCCUUUCCACCCCCGCCUCCCCAAAGCCACUCCACACCUCAAUUAUUAUCUCCCGCCUCCCGCCCUCGACUUCCAAUUCCUUCUCUGGUUGCUGUCGGCGUUGUAUCAUCCCAAAUUAUUGUUAAAAGGUUUUGUAAAUAACACAUCAAUUUCAGAGGAUGAAUACAACUGAAGGAAGCCUGGGCUGGUGUGUGGCUGGGGGAGGCAGUCAUGUGACUUGCCUGGGGGCCAAGGCAGUGGGCCCCCAGACAACUGUCUCCCCUUGCCCUAUUAUAGUUACACCCCUGAUCACAACUCAGUUUGCCAGAGUACACACACAAGAAGGAGCUUGAACUAAUCACCAAAGCUCUGUGGAGCGCUCUUGUGUGUCUCACGUGUUUGGAAAUGCAUGUUGUCACAUUCACACUACAAAACAUGCAAUGAGCAUAGUAGUCCUUAAGGGCCUGGGCUAGGUCGAGAUCUGGUCGUUUUAAUCAAUUGCUUUAGCUGGGUAGUUAGUGACAGUUGGCUUUGCUUGGUAAUUUGGCCAGAAUCCCAAACAGUUGUGGAGGGGAGGGCCGUAACUCAGCAGUAGAGCAUUCUUUUUUACAGGCAUAAAAAGGCCCAGCUUCAAUCUCUGGGAUUUCCAGAUAGGGUUUGGAAAGACCUCUGUCCCUGUCUGAAACCCUGGAAAGAGUCAGUGUAGAUCAGGCCUGCACAACAUAAGGCCCCGGGGCCGGAUUCGGCCGCAGUGACUAUUUUACUGGCCCCCAGGUACCCUGCAGCAACACAGGAGCUGGAAACUGCCUUAUAGCACCAUCCUGUGCAUGCUUUCUCAGAAAUAUGCUCCACUGGUGUGCCAUGUAACUCCCGUGUUUAGGGAGAGGAGAGGACUUGGCAUUUGUUUAGGGCGGGCAUGCGCUCUAGGGGCCCCACUCAUUGAGCAGGGACAGGACCUAUUCUCGGGCCACAACCCUUGGUUGAAACUAUGGGUCCAUUGACAGAGGGAAUAGAUCCACAAGUAACUAGUCAUAUUUUUAAUUUUAAUGUAAUAAUGUGCUAAAAAUUGACCUUGGCCCCUGCACGCCAAGUUGUAGAUGGUUCCGACCCACCAGGGCAUUUGAGUUGUGCAACCCUGGUGUAGAUAGUACUGUGAUAGAUGGAAGGACUAAUGGUCUGACUCAGUAUAAGGCAGCUUCCUAUGUUGCCUGUUUUCAGAGCUAUGCUGACAAUUUGGUGCCUGAGGAAGCACAUCCAAACGGCGCAUCCACCACAAGUUAACCUGAGGUCAUGGGACUUCCUAACAGACUGUGCCCGCGGCUUGCUCAGAUCUGUCUGUUUCCCAUUCUGACGCCUGAGGCGACUACCUCAUUUUAUCUCAUUGUAAUGCUGGCUCUGCCCGUUUGCCCUCUGAGUGUGCCCUCCCCACAUACAUUCCACUGCCCUCUCAGUGCCUCCAAUCUGACCCUGGUGCCUAGUCAAAAAUCCUUGGAUCCAGUUUACUUACCUCUUGGCUCAUUUUUACCAACCCACAUAUACACGGACUAAAUAGCAGUAAAUAAGUUGGUUUUUAUUUUAUUUUUUGGCCACUCAUUCAACUCUUCUCAAAAUAAACCUUUUGCCUUCUCCUCUCUCUUCGGCCCAUAACUGAAACAAAUCUAUCUCUCCCUCCCUCCCCCCCCUCUCUCUCUCUCACACACACACACACACAAACACACUGCCAUAAAGCCUCCUUCACAGUAGUUAACCUCCAGUAAGAAUUCUUUAUAUAAAGAUGGGAGUGGUGGGAGCUGUUUUUUGCAGUGGUUAUCUUGUUCUCUGUCUUGCGGAUAAUGCUUGUAUAUUUGUAUCAUCAUACAUGUGCAUGCAUGUUUUUCUAUGACAGCUAAAUUAAACAUAAGCCUUACUGAUCCUGAGGCAGAAACACACAGCCCAAGAAGUUGCUGGGGAGACACAUUCCCAUCUCCAGUGCAAGGUUUUAGAGAGGGGUUCAGGGACCGUGAGUUCCAAGGCGGUCAGUACAGAUCGAACUGGCGUCAAUCCUGGAAUAUCAAGAACAGAGUUACUGGUAAGGGCAGAACUGGAGGUUUCCCUUCGAACCAGGCCAAACACACCCGUAAACAAUGACUCAGUCCAGGUGGGAGGCAGGUUAAGAGCCUUUGCCUGGGUCUGGGGAACUUCCACCACAGAGACCGUUGGGUCAAUCAAACGAUUACCCAGGGAUACUCCAUAGAUUUUUUUGGCAACUCCCCCCACCCCAACUUUUUCUUCAAAACACCGGUGUCCAAUUGCGAUCCAAGAGGAAUUUGAUGGAGUUUGCCAUCCAGGACCUUUUGGAGAUUUGGGCCAUAGAGAUGAUUCCUGUAUCAUCAGAACCAGAGGGAGUUUUCCCCCUGUUGUUCUUAGUCCCCAAAAAGGACGAUACCUGGUGGGUGGUACUGGAUCUGAAGCACCUGAAUUGAUUCGUGCAAAAGAGAAUCUUCAGGAUGGAGUCGCUCAGAACCAUCAAGUCGGCUAUCCUCCCAGGGGAUUGGUUGGCCUCUCUCAACUAUUUGCCUAUUUGUCCAAAGCCUAUUUGCAUGUACCGAUUCAAGCAUCUUCCCGCCAGUAUCUGAGAUUUGCUUACGACCAAAAGUUCUAUCAGUACAGGACACUCCCUUUCGGGCUCUUGUCAGCCCCUCGUGUGUUCACAAAACUGAUGGUGGCAGUCAUUGCACAUAUCAGAUAGGAGGGCAUUCACUCCUACCCAUAUCUCGACGACGUUUUGAUUCAAUCGAAUUCAGCUCCCCAGGCAAAGAAAGACAUGGAAUGCACUGUCCAGAUCAUGGAGGAGCACGGAUUCAUCAUAAACAAGAUCAAAAGCCACCUUGUCCCAUCUCAAGUCUUAGUUCAUCUGGGGGUGCUCUUCAAUACAGAGACGGCAACGGUGAGCCUUCCAAGGGAAAGGUUAGAGAAGAUGGUUUCGGCAAUAGAACCAUGCCUGCACAGAAAGAAGGCUACUCUGUCUCAUCUAGCACAUAUCCUGGGACUAAUGAUUGCAUGUUUGGAUUGCGUACUAUGGGCAAGAUGGAACUCCAGACCACUUCAGUGGCUGUUGCUCCCGCAUCAGGAGGCGAUCAUGGAAAGGCGAAGCCUGUGGGUCAAGAUCUCCAAGAAGGUGAAGCACUCCUUUCUAUGGUGGCUAUCGGCAGCCACAGAGAGGGGAGUGUCUCUGGCAAUUCCCAAAAAGAUUGUUGUCACGACGGAUGUGAGCCUCUUCAGUUGGGGGGCACACUGCACCAAUCUCCAGGCCCAGGGGAGAUGGGAGCAGAAUGACUUAGUACACAACAUAAAUUGGAUGGAGUUGAAAGCGGUCUGGUUAGCCUUGGUGAGUUUCCAGGACAUAUUAGAGGGCCGGCAUGUACUGGUACGAACAGACAAUGUCAUGGCGAAGGCUCUUAUAAACCAUCAGGGGGGAACACGGUCGAGAUCGCUGAUGCAAGAAUCGGAUUUGCUUUUUCGAUGGGCAGAGCAGCACCUGAAGUUGAUUACAGCGGAGCAUCUCUCGGGGGUUGAAAAUUUAUAAGUGGACUGGUUGAGUCGACAGUCUUUGGACCCAGCAGAGUGGUCCCUCCAUCCGGGAGUGUUCAAGAUGAUAGUACAGAGGUGGGGCAUACCGAUAGUGGACUUGUUUGCCUCACAUCUCAAUCACAAGGUUCCAAGGUUCUAUUCAAGGCAUCAGUGUCACCAGGCAGAACAAGUAGACACAUUGGUAACCAGGUGGCCACAGGGCCUCCUAAAUGCUUCCCCCACCCUUCCAAUUCUGGGAUCAGUCAUCAGGAAGGUGAUGUUUGAGAGGGCAGAGCUGAUAAUGGUGGUGCCCUACUGGCCAUGGAGACCGUGGUUUUCAGAUCUGAUGAACCUCUCGAUACAGGUGCCAUGGCCUCUGCCGUGCAGGUCAGACCUGUUGAUGCAAGGACCCGUUUGUCACUUGGACCCAGAUUGGUUACAGUUACACGCUUAGAGGUUGAGCGGCAGAUUUUAGACAGUAAAGGCUACUCUCAAAAGGUGCAGGACACAAUCAUAGCGUCCAGGCAACCGUCCACGGCGCGCAUUUAUUAGGUGGCGUGUUCCGCCUUCUGUACCUGGGCAAAGGUACAAACCCUAACCCUAACCCCGUUUGAGCCCCUCCGUUCAGUAUCCUUAAAGUUAUUGUCAUUUAAAGUUCUUUUUCUUGUUGCAGUUACUUUGGCCAAGCAGGUAUCGGAGCUGGCUGCUCUUUCAGUUCGAGAUGAACUUUGUAUUUUCCAAAAGGACUCAGUGGUUAUGAAGCUGGAUCCCACCUUCUUACCAAAAGUAAAUUCUUUGUUUCAUAGAAACCAAGAGAUUGUUUUACCAUCUUUUUGUUCGGCACCUCAGCAUCCGAAAGAAAAGGUUUGGCAUACCUUGGAUGUGCGCAGGGCUCUGCGCAUAUACAUUAAGCGCACAAGAAAUUUGCGAAAAUCGGACUCCCUGUUUGUGUCCUUUCAGCCUUCUGGUUUGGGUUCAAAAGCCUCCAAGGUGUCUCUGGCCAGGUGGAUUAAAGCUACGAUCGCCUUGGCUUAUGAGUCCCUAAGGUUAGCUGUCCCUCACGGGAUUACUGCUCAUUCAACCAGAAGUGCUUCUACGUCAGCUGCUUUUUCAGCCAGGGUCCCCCAUGAGGAAAUCUGCAAGGUGGCCACGUGGUCGUCUAUGUCACCUUUUAUAAAACAUUAUAAAAUUCCAUCUUUUUAUGAAUCACAGGUGGCAGUUGGUCGCACUGUACUUCAAAAGGUGGUAUAGAUAUCUGCUGCCCGCCCAGUUCGGAGGUUUGGGUAUGUCCCAUCAUGUGACGGAUGCCCUCCCCAUACCAGAAAAAGAACCCUUCACAAUAGGUCUACCAAUGUUUGUUUCUGCACCUAUUAUUCCUUAGGUGCCUGGACCUGUGAUUCCUGGGCCUGGACUCCCUAGCCAGCCAGCUCCACCUAUAGGACAGCAGCCUGUACCUGCCCUUUUUUGCCAACUGGUGCCACCUAGAAGCCAGCGGCCUUAUUCAGUGCCAUUGUCUCCAGAUACUCAAUUAUCAGAGUCUGAGAAAAAAGAGGGGUGGGAAUUGUCUAAUGAACAGGCCCCUGCUGAAAGGUCUAAUUCCAUACGCGUGGUCACUACAGCUGAAAUUGAAGUAUGAUUGGCCAAGAGGACAAGAAAGCAGAGCAUCUGCUCAGAAAAGGUCAUGAUGUGUCUGCUACUGUCAUCAGGGCAGCUGCCACAAACUCUGUUUUUGUGAGGGCAUCUAUUCUUUGGGCUAAAGAGUUGGUGCAAUACAUCCCUCUGAAGAAUGUUCAAUUGCGCCAGGGUGUCAACAAGUUAGCUAAGGCAGCCGUUCUCAUGGCUAAUUCGAGUCUGGAUUGUAUCCAGCAUGCCUAGUGGGCGAUGGUGUCUGAAGUCGCAGUGCUCAGCAGGUUGUGGUUAAAUAAUUGGCAUGUUGAUACUAAAUCAAAGGUUACUUUGGCUGUUACUCCCUUCCGGGGAGGGGGGCAGCAAACUGUUUGGAGAAUCUUUAGGACCGGUGUUGGUUUAAACUAAAGAUGAAAAGAAAACCAUGCCAGCUUGACGCAGAGAGUUUCGUAGGCCCUUUGGGGGAACACUUCCCACCAGUCUUCCAUUCAUACCUGUAGAGCUUUCAACUGGGCUCCAGCCAACCAAUUAAGAGACAACUUUAGGGACAAUCAAGCACCGACCUUCAAGUCAGACUGGCGACAGCCCUGGAGCAAUCAAGGUAGAGGUACUUUCAGAAACCAGCAAGGCAGACCUUUUUCUUCCCCUUCAGCCCAGGGCCAAAUCAUAAGCUAUGACCCAAUCCCAGUUGGGGGCAGGCUUCUCCUUUUCUCAAAGGCCUGGGUGAACAGCACCACCAAUCGCUGGGUGCUGCAGACUGUACGGGAGGGGUAUUUAAUAGAUUUUAUUUCUCCCCACAAUUUUCACCUAACAACUCCCAUAUCCAGGGUCAAAUCCAAAAGAGUUUGAUCAAACAGGCCUUCAACAUUUGUUGGAUGUUCAGGCCAUAGAGCCUGUUCCACUGACCACAUCUUUCUUUCUUUCUUUCUUUCUUUCUUUCUUUCUUUCUUUCUUUCUCUCUCUCUCUCUCUCUCUCUCUCUCUCUCUCUCUCUCUCACACACACACACACACACACACACACACACACACACACACACUUAUAUACCGCCCAAACUUUCGUCUCUGGGCGAAACAUGAACAUCAUGUUCAGGCUCUAGUCUUUGCUUUUUCUGGUGCCAAAGAAGGAUGGGUCCUGGCGAGCGAUUUUAUACCUAAAAACGGCUCAACAGGUACAUGAGGAAAAGGUCAUUCUGUAUGGAAUCCCUCAGGUUGAUCAAGGAUGCAGUCCAGCCCAGGGAUGUUCUGGCAUCAAUCGACCUGUCGAAAGCUUACCUACAUGUGCUCAUUCACCCCACCUUUUGAUGCUUCCUGAGGUUUUCUUACAACCAUCAGCAGUACCAGUACAGGGCUCUGCCCUUUGGGUUUUCAUCCGUGUGUCUAGUUUUUAUGAAGUUGAUGGUGGCAGUAAUUGCCCAUGAACGUCUCCAGGGCAUUCAUGACCACCUGAAUCUGGAUGAUCUGUUGAUUCCCUUGUCUUCCCAACAACAAGCCUCCAGAGAUGUGCAGCAGACAAUCCAGAUACUCAAAGAACAUCGCUUCAUAAUCAACCUUCUGAAGAACCAUUUAUGUCCAUCACAGCGCUUCCAGCAUCUGGGUGUGCUAUUCAACAUGCAGGCGGCUACUAUCUCCCUUACGAUGGAACGCCAACAGAAGAUUGCUGCCUCAAUUGUACCCCUGUUGUCCAGAUGCAGGAUGGAUCUAAUGACUCUGGCUCAGCUCAUGGGGUUGAUGAUCGCUUGUUUGGAGUGCACCCCUUGGGUGAGGUGGCACUCCAGACCACUUCAAUGGACCAUCCUGCCUUUUCAGUCUGGUGGUUAUCUCCAGUCAAGGAAGAGGGUCUUCCCCUUGAAAAUCCAUGCAAGGUGGUGGUCACCACCAUUGCAAGCCUCUCUGGCUGGGUAGCCCAUUGCUUGGAGCUGAAGGUGGUUCAUCUGGCCUUGCUUCAGUUUCAAGACCUACUUCUGGGAAUGCAUGUCAACAAUAUGACAGCCAAGUCCCACGUCAACGACCAAGGGGGCACAAGAUCGCGGACCCUUAUGAGAGAGACCAACCUACUCUUCACUUGAGUGGAGGUUCAUCUUUGUUCAGUGUUGGCAGAGCACCUAAGUGGUUCAGCAAACCUGCAGGCAGAUUGGCUGAAUCAACAGUGGAUAGAUCCCACAGAAUGGCCUCUGAAUCCGGAAGUCUUUGCUCAGAUCAUGGAGGUGAUGGAUCUUCCCGAACUGGACCUGUUCGCAUCUCUGAGCAACACUCAACUUCCCAGGUUUUUUGCAAGGUUCCAGUGCUAUCAGGUGGUACAUAUAGAUGCUCUCACAUCACCAUGCCGCCUGGGCUUCUUUGCAUGUUUCCAACUUUCCACCUGUCACAAGCCUCAGAUAUGUCAUCAGGAAGCUUCAGUCAGAAAUCAUCCUGGUGGCACCUUACUGGCCAUGACAUCCUUAGUUUUCAGACCUUCUGUCCCUGUCUCUUUAUCCUCCAUGGCACCUUCCUCUCUGAGUGGAUCUCUUUUCACAGGGUCUCCUGUUCCAUCCAGAUCUGGUGUGGUUACACCUACACACAUGGCAGUUGAGUGCAGGUCGCUAGCAGACAGAGGAUAUUCACAGCAAGUCCAGAACACAAUCCUUGUUUUGAGGAGACCUUCUACCUCCUGUAUUUACCAAGCCACCUGGUCAACUUUCUGUAGCUGGGGGCAAAAACAUCAAAUCCACCCUUCAGCGGGAGUUUUGGAAGUUCUGGGGGUCCUCCAGUUGGACCUCAAGAUGGGUCUCCGUCCAAACACCUUGAAGUGCCAGACUUCAGCCUUGUCCUCAGUUCUGGACAUUUCAAUUCCAGGCUCCUCAGCUUUGCAUCCACACAUUUGCCAUUGUAGUGAUCAGAAUUUCCUCCCACUAAAGAGUUAACUGGAAGUGAGCCCUGUCUUGACUGACAGGGUUCACUGGUGAACUCCAGGGCUCAGCCAAUCAGCACACCAGGUGGGUGGGACCUAGAGAGCUGUUGUCAGGAAGAAGGGAGUUCUUUGUUAGAGAAGAAGCUAAGUUAGAAGUGCACAGGAGGACAUGUGGCCAUGGAGGCUGGCUGCAGGAGAAUGAUUCUGCAGAUCCUUGAAAGAUAGGAGGGCAGGAAGCUUGAAUUAUUAUCUGGAGUUUAGUGAGUUCAAGGAAAGGAAGCCAGGGCUUUGGCUUUGGGAAGGUUAAUUUAGGAGAAAGUUUGUUUUGUUUUAAUUUUGUGUUAGAAACUCAUGUUUCUUUGGUGCGUGUGCUUUUGCAUAUUCCUGAUACUGUUCUAUUAUUAUUUACCUGUAAUGUAAUGAAUAUAAGAAACACUAGCCUAUACCCAUCCUACCUAGGGUUUUGCCAAAGACUCUAUAAACAUUUAAGUGUGCAUUAAGACAACCUAUUUUUGUAACCUACUAAGUAUUUUUAACUGUAUUUCUAAACUGAGAAAGGCUCAGAUGGAAGCAGUCUGUAGGAAUCGAAUAAAACUGGGUUUUUUUUGUUCCUUUAGUUUUACAACCCUCUCCAAGUUGGUUUUUAACUCAGGAAAAGGGGGCCCCGAGGGGGGUUUCUCUGGUGCAAACACAUCCUCAAACAUUUAGAAACUCUCAGUUUUCUCACUCAGUUUUCUCAUGUAGGCUUGCAUGUGGAAGAUUUUUGUACUUAUCCAACAAGAGAGAGAGAGAGAGAGGUAGUUUUCCCUGGGAUUCCACCCCAAGCCCAGAGAUGUUCAAGCUCUGUCUAUAAGGGGGUGGUGGUGGCAGCAUUUUGAACCUACCGAUAAUACAGAAUAGUUUUAGGAGAAGCCUAGACAGGCAGCUCAAGCAGGGAUGAUUCAGCAUUUAUUUCCCUCAUGUGAGUUUGCUCUGAGACACAGGCUUUAAUCAGCUACAGCCACUUUUUGCAGGGAGCUACCAACAUCAUUCCUCCACCUGUGCAAAGGUUCCCAUCUUGGGACCUGAAAAAAGUGUUAAAUGCUCUCACUAGGGCUUCCUUUGAGCCUCUCCACUCAGUUUUGCUGAAGCUGUUAUCCCUCAAAGUCCUCUUCCUCAUGGCAAUUACAUCUGCUGGGAGAGUGUCCGACUGAGCUGGCUGCUUUGUCUGUGUGCAAGGAACAGUGCAUCUUGCAAAAGGACUCUGUAGUUCUAAAACCGGAUCCAAUCUUUAUGCCAAAAAUUAAUUCAGUUUUUCUUAGGGGGUCAGGGAUUAGUUGUGCCAUAAUUUUGUCCAAAACCUUCUCAUCUGAAGGAGAAGGACUGGCAUACCCUAGAUAUGUGAAUGGCACUCAGAGUAUAUAUAAAACAUACUAAACGUUUUUGUAUAAAAGAUUCCCUGUCCAUGUCUUUCCAGCCUUCUUCCAUGGGGUUUAAGGUCACCAAGGUUUUGCUGGGCCGGUGGAUUGGAGUGGCAUUUGCCCUUGCUUACGAAUCUCUGCACUUAUCUGUUCCUCAAGCAAUCACAGCCCAUUCCACUAGAAGUGCUAGCACUUCAGCUGCUUUGCAGCAUGUGCACCAUUAGAUGAAAUUUGCAAGGUGGCCACUUGGGCUUUAGUGUCACCAUUUGUGCAACAUUAUAAGAUUCCGUCUUUUCAUGCAGCUCUAGCAGCUAUGGGACAGACUGUUUUACAGCAGGUAGUUUAACCAUCUGCUUCCCUCCUCAUUCUUUUUUGCUUGGGUAUGUCCCAUCAUGUUGAGGAUGACCUCCCUAUACCAUGGGAAAAGAAACAUUGGUAGACUUAACUUGAAAGGUUCUUUUUCAAUGUAUAGAGAGGUCAUCCGGCCUGCCUGCGGAUCUGGGGAGCUUAUUAUGCAUAUAUUUCAGUCCUCUUGGACUGCAUUCAGGGGGGUGGGUCAACUCCCAGAGUUACAGUUUACCUGUCCUUUUACUGCUACUGUUCUGGCUCAUUUUUAUCUGUUUCGGUUUGUGUUCAUGUUGAGUUUUCUCUUUUAAGCUUUACUGUGCUAUACAGUCCUGGAACUGGGGAUUGAGUAACAGCCCUGCUAACUAAGCAAAGAGGCAUCUUUCAAAGUGGUGAUUCUCUUAUAUUUAGCAGGGGAAGAGCAACUGGCCCUAUCCAACCCCAGCACAGCAUCCUUCCACUGGCUGUUGCUGGUAUCUGCCUUUUUUUUUUUUAGAUUGUGAGCCCUUUGGGGACAGGGGACCAUCCUCUUGAUGUAUUAUUUAUUUCUCUAUGUAAACCUAUUUGAGAACUUUGGUUGAUGAGCAGUAUAUAAUUAUUAUAGUAAUAAUGGUAGUAGUAGCUACUUAACCUUGCUACUAGCCUGCCUGAAAUUUGAAUGGUCCUGUCUUGAAACAUGCAGAGGCAGAUAAACCAAUCACGUUGAAGAUGACAUCCCUAUACCUUGAAAAAGAACCCUUCAUGCAAAUACAAUACAUGUGUAAAAACUGUGCAGCAAUGGAAAAGAACAAACAAUGAAAAUGUGAAUAUAAGCCAGAAAUUAAGAGCAAUUUGAGGUUAUACACAAGUCCAGUGUUAAAAAGAGACUGUCGGUUGCUGAGCAUGCAGGUACAACUUGACAGGAGUCAAUUGAAAACACAAUUCAAGAAAGAACAUCAUUCCAAAAUUUGAUUUGAGUGGAUGGAGUUAUGAACUGAUCAUUCCUUAAUGACAUAUUCAAUAAAUGGAAACCAUAUUUCCCCAAACCUGUCUUGUUUUGUUAGUCCUCUAGCUAACCUGAUUUGAUGGGUUAGCUUUUCGAAUAAUGUGAUCAUCCAGACACUAUUGAACCAAUUUUCAAUGCAUAGACCCUUUGAGGCUUUCCAGUGUUUAGCUACCUCUAUCUUGGCUGCUGCUAGCAGAAGAGUUAUUAGAUCUUUAUGAAGUAUAUCUUUGUGAGUACUUCUGUAAAUUGAUAAAAGUGCUACACUGGACCAGGCUGAAGAAUGAGUUGGACUAUUUCAGAGAUUAUAUGAAAAUUCACUGCCAAUAGCAUUUUAUGUAUGGGCAACCCCACAAUAAAUGAAGGAGAGUACUUCUGUUUUUACAUCUCUGCCAACAAAAUGGGGAAAACUUUUUGGUGAUAUAGUGCAUCUUGAUUGGAGUAAGAUGUCAUCUAUGUAUAACUUUUUAAUGUUGCUUCCCUUAUCUGGGCAGAUGUGGUUCUAAGUGGUUGUUUCAGCCAAAUUUCUUCACAUUCAUUAUCUUCAAGAGAGGCUCCCAUGUUGCUCUCCCAAGCAACAUGGCCCUCCCAAGGAACCACAGGAUUCAGAGAGGAGGGUAUUGUAUAUAACCGAGGCUAUCCCCCUUGUUUUGUUGGUGUUGCGGCACACAAGUUUUCAUAGAUAGUCAAAGAUCUAGUAGCCUCUCCUUUCUGUAGCAACUUAGAUGCAAAGGACCAGAUUUGAAAUUUCUUCAUCCAAGUAGCUUGGUUGCCAAUCAGCAUAGUAUCAAGUUUAGCUUCUGAUACUGGUUUGCCUUUUUCAAUAAUGUUCCUCAGUCUGUAAAUCCCUUUUGACUCCCACUUCUCAUAUUGUUGAUAUUUGCUUGGGUCUGCAAACACAGGAUGAUCUAAAAUAGGGAAGAAUGGUGAAGUGGGUGAUGCCAAGGGAUGCAGAUUCUCAAUGUGGUGGCCAAGAAAAGGUUACUCAACCCUGAUAAUUUAGCUUCAGUGACCUGUUUAAAGGGAGAGCUCAAAUUGUUUGAACUUCUGAGGAAAGCUCAAAAGAAACCCAUGAGAUCACCUGAUCAUUUUGAAUGAUAAGAAUGAGUUGUUUCACUUGGAAGUCAUUGAAAUAAAGCUUAAGUUUGGGGACCCCAAAUCCACAUUUAUUUGGGUCCCUGUAUAGUGAACUUUUGUUUACUCUUGCUUUAUUAUAAUUAUUGCAAAAAGCUUCAAGUGUUCCCUACCACUUUUUAAAGUGUUUGGGAUGAAUCUGAAUUGGUAAUGUUUGAAAAAGAAACAGAAAUUUGAGCAGUGCUACCAUUUGUAUGGCUGGUAUUCUCCCUAACCAGGAGAGAUUCAGUUGAGUCCAAUUUUUAAUAUCCUUUUUGAUUUGUUGAAAAAGAGGGUUAUGUUUCUUUUCCUUAAUUGCUUUAGAUCCUUUGGAAUAAUCACCCCUAGAUAUUUGAAGCUUGAAUAUUGUAAGCUUAAGUUAGACAUUUGCUGCAAUUUCCUUUGUUCUUCUAUGCAAAUGUUGAUGCAUAUAAGUUCUGGCUUCUUGUGACCAGCUGUUUGUUUGUAAAGUGUUAAUAUUUCCUUGACUGCCGGUAUUGCUUCUCAUGGGUUAGAUAAAAAUAAUAUGAUGUCAUCUGAAAAUAAGUUGAUUGUGUGUCUUUUCUUAUUAAUUUGGAUUCCAUUAAUUUUUGUGUCAUUUUAAUUAAGUCAG